rnacentral:rRNA from 1 species
GGGUUGUGAGGUUAAGCGACUAAGCGUACACGGUGGAUGCCCUGGCAGUCAGAGGCGAUGAAGGACGUGCUAAUCUGCGAUAAGCGUCGGUAAGGUGAUAUGAACCGUUAUAACCGGCGAUUUCCGAAUGGGGAAACCCAGUGUGUUUCGACACACUAUCAUUAACUGAAUCCAUAGGUUAAUGAGGCGAACCGGGGGAACUGAAACAUCUAAGUACCCCGAGGAAAAGAAAUCAACCGAGAUUCCCCCAGUAGCGGCGAGCGAACGGGGAGCAGCCCAGAGCCUGAAUCAGUGUGUGUGUUAGUGGAAGCGUCUGGAAAGGCGCGCGAUACAGGGUGACAGCCCCGUACACAAAAAUGCACAUACUGUGAGCUCGAUGAGUAGGGCGGGACACGUGGUAUCCUGUCUGAAUAUGGGGGGACCAUCCUCCAAGGCUAAAUACUCCUGACUGACCGAUAGUGAACCAGUACCGUGAGGGAAAGGCGAAAAGAACCCCGGCGAGGGGAGUGAAAAAGAACCUGAAACCGUGUACGUACAAGCAGUGGGAGCACGCUUAGGCGUGUGACUGCGUACCUUUUGUAUAAUGGGUCAGCGACUUAUAUUCUGUAGCAAGGUUAACCGAAUAGGGGAGCCGAAGGGAAACCGAGUCUUAACUGGGCGUUAAGUUGCAGGGUAUAGACCCGAAACCCGGUGAUCUAGCCAUGGGCAGGUUGAAGGUUGGGUAACACUAACUGGAGGACCGAACCGACUAAUGUUGAAAAAUUAGCGGAUGACUUGUGGCUGGGGGUGAAAGGCCAAUCAAACCGGGAGAUAGCUGGUUCUCCCCGAAAGCUAUUUAGGUAGCGCCUCGUGAAUUCAUCUCCGGGGGUAGAGCACUGUUUCGGCAAGGGGGUCAUCCCGACUUACCAACCCGAUGCAAACUGCGAAUACCGGAGAAUGUUAUCACGGGAGACACACGGCGGGUGCUAACGUCCGUCGUGAAGAGGGAAACAACCCAGACCGCCAGCUAAGGUCCCAAAGUCAUGGUUAAGUGGGAAACGAUGUGGGAAGGCCCAGACAGCCAGGAUGUUGGCUUAGAAGCAGCCAUCAUUUAAAGAAAGCGUAAUAGCUCACUGGUCGAGUCGGCCUGCGCGGAAGAUGUAACGGGGCUAAACCAUGCACCGAAGCUGCGGCAGCGAC